rfam:Pan troglodytes isolate Yerkes chimp pedigree #C0471 (Clint) chromosome 5, whole genome shotgun sequence.
AGGGGUAUAGCUCAGUGGUAGAGCAUUUGACUGCAGAUCAAAAAAAAAAAAGUUUCCCCCG